rnacentral:rRNA from 1 species
UACGUAGGGUGCAAGCGUUGUCCGGAAUUAUUGGGCGUAAAGAGCUCGUAGGCGGUCUGUCGCGUCGGCUGUGAAAACCUAGGGCUCAACCCUGGGCCUGCAGCCGAUACGGGCAGACUAGAAUUCGGUAGGGGAGACUGGAAUUCCUGGUGUAGCGGUGAAAUGCGCAGAUAUCAGGAGGAACACCGGUGGCGAAGGCGGAUCUCUGGGUCAUUACUGACGCUGAGGAGCGAAAGCGUGGGGAGCGAACAGG